rnacentral:rRNA from 1 species
AGCUCCAGCAGCGUAUAUUUAUAUUGCUGCGUUUAAAAAGCUCGUAGUUGAAGCGUCAGACGCGGGAGGGCGGACGGCCGCACUGGUCGCUCUCGCCCGACCGAGCCAGGCGCAGAGGGCGCGCGUCGCUUGCACUUCGCCGUGUGAGCGCGCCGCCGCUGCACGUUCACCUUGAAGAAAUUGAACCGCUCAGAGGAGGCGUGCAGCUUGUACAGCUCAGCAUGGUAUGAUGGAACAUGGGCUCGUACUCAUUUUGUUGGUUAGAGAGUCGGCGAGCCAAUGAUUAACAGGGACUGCCGGGGGCAUUCGUACUCGGACGGGAGAGGUGAAAUUCAAGGAUCGUCCGAAGACGCCCUACUGCGAAAGCAUUUGCCAAGAAUGUUUUCA